rfam:Hebeloma cylindrosporum h7 unplaced genomic scaffold scaffold_2, whole genome shotgun sequence.
GGACCCCUAGCUCAGUGGUAGAGCGUGAGAUUCCAGUUUGAGAGAUUCCUCAAGGUCAUCCGUUCAAUCCGGGUGGGGUUCA